rnacentral:lncRNA from 1 species
CCCUUCAUGGCCGCGGCCACGGCCUUGCUGAGCGCCGUGUAGACGCUGGUGGGCAAGCGCGUGAUCACGGUGCCCGAGUCGAUGAUCGUCGGCAGGCUGGUGUACUCGGAGGAAGACACCGCCAGCGGCUUCCCGGCCACGGUCAUCCCGGAGAGGCUGAUGAAGUAGAGCGAGUCGUCCAAGGUGUUGGACACCAUGGGCGUGUAGGAGUAACCCCCCGGGUUGUAGGACCCGAUCGAGAGGUACCCUGACGAGGACGUCGACGGGAGGCAGUAGGAGAAGGAAUAACCCAAGGUCGGGGCGAGCUGGUAGAGCAAAGAAAGCUUGUUGCGGGCCAGGCCCAUGAGGCCGGCCGAGCGGCCGAAGAGG